ACCUCUGCCACCGGCUCUGCUGUAUUUAAGCUAGCCGCCGGCCCUCGGUUCGCGAGUCUUCUGCAGAGCAUCAUCCCAUCCCCCAAGUCAUAAACCCAAGUCGGACUCGCCUUCCUCCUCCCCAACUACUCCUCUCCUCCGCGCAUCGCAUCGCACCGGGGGUCACCUGAGGUAGGUACCGCCCGGAUCCCCGCCUCCAGAAAUCUAGGUCUGCGAAAUUCGUUCUCUCGAUCUGCAGCCACGACCUCGCCGGAGUAGUUUUGGCCCGGAUCUGUAGCCGAUGCGUCUUGUUCGGUGUUAGAUUCGGCCGCGGUCUCGUCCGGUCCCGAUCCGUGCUUGUGCUUGCGCAGUUAUGUGCUCGUGCGUGGUCGUCGGUUGGUCGCCGACGGAUCACUGCCGAGUGUCCCUGUAGUUUAUGUUGGAGGAUGCGGUGAUUUUGGGUGUGGGAUUUGCUCUGGGUUCGGUCGGGGUUUAGAUGGGCUGAUGCAGUAGACUGUUCUGUGCAUCUCAAUUACAACUUGUUUAUUUCGUCCCCGUGCAGUGUCAUGUUAAUUUUGUUUCAUCCUACUGUCAUGUCCAGCGGUUUUGUUUCUGUUGCUGAACUUAAAUAACAUUGCUAGGAUGGAGUACAAGUUACUGUAAGUGUUUGCGUCGUUUAAGUUGGAGGAUGCAGCGAUUUGGGAUUUGGAAAUGCCCCGGAUUUGGGGUCUAGAUGGUCUGGGGCAGCUGAAUGCCAUGUUACCGUGUCAUGUUAGUUUUGUUGCAUCCUGAUGUCAUGUUUAGUUGUUCUCUGUUACUGACCUUGAGAAAUUACAUAGCUAGCCCACGAUUUUGAGUGGUAAAUGGUGAUUUGAUGCUUGUGGUGUCUCAUAUGGUGUGUGGGCGAAGCAAGGCCUGUAUUAUUGUUGUAUCUAGCUUAAAUCUGGAACUGGGCUUUACUAAUUACCAAGAUUUAUGAUAUGUUUGUGCUGAAACACUGCUGGGUGAUUUGCAAUGUCCUGUUACUUCAUUCCAGUGAUUAUUCACUUCUGGGGCUUGAUUGCAGAUCACAUACACAAUGGUGAAGGCUGUGGCUGUGCUUACCGGCAGUGAGGGUGUCAAGGGCACCAUCUUCUUCACCCAGGAGGGAGAUGGUAAUUAUGCAAACAUGCUUUGAGAGCCUCUGUAUUCUGGCCGUGUAUUUUCGUUUGAUGUAAAUUGGUUGGUUGUUGUUUAGGCCCGACCACCGUGACGGGAAGCGUCACUGGACUCAAGGAAGGGCUCCACGGCUUCCACGUGCACGCUCUUGGUGACACCACCAACGGCUGCAUGUCAACUGGUACCUACAUUUCCGUUCCCCUUCCAGCACAGACGAAAUGGACUGUGCUUACUGGUGUGAUCGAUUUCUCUUGUAGGACCACACUUCAACCCUGCUGGUCAUGUGCAUGGGGCACCAGAAGAUGAAAUCCGCCAUGCUGGUGAUCUUGGAAAUGUGACAGCUGGAGCGGAUGGU
rnacentral:lncRNA from 1 species